rnacentral:rRNA from 1 species
AUUGAACGCUGGCGGCAUGCCUUACACAUGCAAGUCGAACGGCAUCGCGGGAAAGCUUGCUUUCCUGGCGGCGGGUGGCGAACGGGUGAGUAACACAUCGGAACGUACCGGCUAGUGGGGGAUAACCCGUCGAAAGACGGGCUAAUACCGCAUACGCUCUUCGGAGGAAAGCAGGGGACCUUUGGGCCUUGCGCUAGCCGAGCGGCCGAUGUCCGAUUAGCUAGUUGGUGGGGUAAAGGCCUACCAAGGCGACGAUCGGUAGCGGGUCUGAGAGGACGAUCCGCCACACUGGGACUGAGACACGGCCCAGACUCCUACGGGAGGCAGCAGUGGGGAAUCUUGGACAAAGGGGGCAACCCUGAUCCAGCAAUGCCGCGUGGGUGAAGAAGGCCUUCGGGUUGUAAAGCCCUUUCGGCAGGGAAGAAAUCGGCGGGGCGAAUAACCCUGCUGGAUGACGGUACCUGCAGAAGAAGCACCGGCUAACUACGUG